AGAGUUUGAUCCUGGCUCAGAACGAACGCUGGCGGCAGGCUUAACACAUGCAAGUCGAGCGCUGUAGCAAUACAGAGCGGCGCACGGGAGAGUAAUACAUGGGAACCUACCUUUUGGUUCGGAAUAACGUCGGGAAACUGACGCUAAUACCGGAUACGUCCUUCGGGAGAAAGAUUUAUCGCCGAUAGAUGGGCCCAUGU
rnacentral:rRNA from 1 species